CGCUUAACUAUAUAUGAAAUUGCGAUUUGACAUUACAAAAACUCGAAUUACGUACCAUACUCCAACAAAAUAAAAUAUGUGGCUUACGAGACAAGCCGGAAGCAAAUACAUAACCCAUCAUGCAUUUUUUGAAAGGAUAAUCCUAGGUAACUACUUGAAUUCCCACCUGAGAACCUACUCAAUGUAAUCAACUGCAUGACCUUUUCCACAAUUGUCAACACAUAUCCGAGAAGUUCCACAAACUCAUCUACCUCGGACCUUCGAAAAACAACGAUACUAGACCUGGUAGAU
rnacentral:lncRNA from 1 species